rnacentral:rRNA from 1 species
GUACACGCUGUGACUAGCAUAUCAAUAAGCGGAGGAAAAGAAACUAACAAGGAUUCCCCUAGUAACGGCGAGUGAAGCGGGAAGAGCUCAAAUUUGAAAUCUUAAAGGGUUUCCCUUUACGAAUUGUAGUUUAAAGAAGUGUUUUCUGUUGAGGUUUUGGUAAAAGUUCUUUGGAAUAGGACAUCAUAGAGGGUGAGAAUCCCGUAUUUGACCUUUACUUUCAACUUUGUGAUACACUUUCAAAGAGUCGGAUUGUUUGGGAAUGCAGUCCAAAAUGGGUGGUAAAUUUCAUCUAAAGCUAAAUAUUGGCGAGAGACCGAUAGCGAACAAGUACCGUGAGGGAAAGAUGAAAAGAACUUUGAAAAGAGAGUUAAACAGUACGUGAAAUUGUCAAAAGGGAAGCGUUUGACACCAGUGUUGUUUUUCUGAAAAUCAAUUAAAGAACUGUUUAUGCUAAGCUGUUUAGACUUUAUCAGCUAACUGUUUAGUUUUGAGCUUUUCUUUAAUGCACUUUUCAGCUAACAAGUCAACAUCAAUUUCUUUUGCUGUAAAAAAGCUUGAGGAAGGUGGCUUGAGAUUCGUCUUAAGUGUUUAUAGCCUCUUGCCUAUGCAGUCGGGAGAGAUUGAGAUCUGCAGCGUAGAUCCUUCGGGGCUAAAUGCAUUUGUGCUAAGUUAUAGCAUUUUCAUAGACAACUUGUUGACUAUGAUUCGUCUUGUAGCUUACUCGCUUAUGUUAUUUUACCUACGCUUAGGAUGUUGACGCGCGUGUGUGCGUG